AGCUGUUCCCCUCUGGAGGUUAUUGACCUUCACAAUUCAAAGGGCCCUGGUUUCCGGUGGCCCUCUUUUUUUUGCCCA
rnacentral:misc_RNA from 1 species